UAGCAUUCUAAGCCUUUGACAAUAGACUGGCACCAGGAACCAUGCCCAGGUGUCCCACAUAGCCAUAUAUGGCACUGCCAUUAAGGCCAAGAUCCAACGAAGCACUUGCAUAACUGUUCUACAAAGAAGCUGAAGGAAGAGGAGACACAGGAUUCUGACUUAGGCCAUGCAGCCAUAAGAAGGAACUGGAGAGGCAUCAGCCAUACCCUCAGUCAGGAGCACAAGGAGACCUAUGGCACAUAUAGAGGCUAACGGGCACUGUUUGUGAGAAUUUCUGUACUCAGGCGCAUAGUGCGCAUGCAUACCCACAUGUGGAAUACACAUAGGGACCAGCACUCAAAAAAGAAGUUAGAAUGGGUCUCACCAAAAACACUUUCUACACUACUCAGAGAAGUGUGCUAAAAACCUGAUGGAAACAAUCAUGUUUAAAUGUGAUUAUAGCCUGCACAGUUCUGGUGCCAGUGUGAACAGGGCCAGAGUGCACGAUUUUAUCUGUAAGAAAUGUCGGACAGAAUGCCAAUGCUGCCAACACUACAAAAGCAUAGAGUCCCUUUCCGUUUGGGAAAGGGAAGUGAGCAGAGAAAACAAUUACACAGAUCUCCUUGUCCCUGAAUUUGAAUUAUUCCUAGCAGAUGUUGCUCCAAAAAAGAAGGGACAGAAAGAACUGAGUACUGUGAAAGAUGCAUAAACACUCAGAAGGACAGGCGAAGAAUGACCAAGAUGGUAGAAUUAACUAGGAGUGACAAGAGGAAAUGAAGAAAAAAAUAUGUAGGAUGGACAUCAAGAACAGUUUUCUUAUGUGUGGUAGCUGUCAAUGAAUGCUGUAAUCAGAACAGUGAUUAAACUGUCAAAAGUUUACAACUUGCUAGCAAUGGAAACCUCAAGAAGAAACAGGAACACCACCAUGAAAUAUUAGAAAACCAGCCAAACAGACCAGGAGGCAGACACAUAUUUCAAUUUUUGCUUUGGACACCAGCCACAGUUUGAAAGAAAAUUUACCUUGGAUGGAGAUCAACACAAAACCCACAUAGAGACAAGACAGACAGAUUUCAGUGACUCCUCCUUUGGAAUACCAAUGGGAA